rnacentral:rRNA from 1 species
GAUGAACGCUGACAGAAUGCUUAACACAUGCAAGUCAACUUGAACUUCGGUUUGGGUGGCGGACGGGUGAGUAACGCGUAAAGAACUUGCCUCACAGAUAGGGACAACAUUUGGAAACGAAUGCUAAUACCUGAUAUUAUGAUUAUAUGGCAUCGUAUAAUUAUGAAAGCUAUAUGCGCUGUGAGAGAGCUUUGCGUCCCAUUAGCUAGUUGGAGAGGUAACGGCUCACCAAGGCGAUGAUGGGUAGCCGGCCUGAGAGGGUGAUCGGCCACAAGGGGACUGAGACACGGCCCUUACUCCUACGGGAGGCAGCAGUGGGGAAUAUUGGCAAUGGACCAAGAGUCUGAUCCAGCAAUUCUGUGUGCAAGAUGAAGUUUUUCGGAAUGUAAAGUGCUUUCAGUUGGGAAGAAAAAAAUGACGGUACCAACAGAAGAAGUGACGGCUAAAUACGUG